CAAAAACGAACAAAAAAAAAAAGAGAAAAGGAAAAGAAAAAGAAAGGAAAGGAAGGAAGGAAAAGACGUCACACUUUCUUUCGUUUCUGUUCUUCUCGGUUAUCUCUCGCACACACAUUCUUUUCUUCUUCUUCUUUC
rnacentral:ribozyme from 1 species